AGCGAACGCUGGCGGCAGGCUUAACACAUGCAAGUCGAGCGGGCGUAGCAAUACGUCAGCGGCAGACGGGUGAGUAACGCGUGGGAACAUACCUUUGGUUCGGAACAACACAGGGAACGUUGUGCUAAUACCGGAUAAGCCCUUACGGGGAAAGGAUUUAUCGCCGAAAGAUUGGCCCGCCGUCUGAUUAGCUAGUUGGUGAGGUAACGGCUCACCAAGGCGACGAUCAGUAGCUGGCUGAGAGGAU
rnacentral:rRNA from 1 species